GAUCCUUUGUCAGGUUGCAAAAUGCCAUUAUUUCCAAACUAUAAGGCAGAAUUUGCUUUUCUUCCUAACAGCAUGGUCCUGCACAAGUCUUCCGCUCCUUCUCUAUUUCACAGGAUAAAUGCUCCACAUCCUUCAUACUGUGACAUGAAGGCAGUAGAAGUGCUUUCACUACAUAAAGAUACACGAUGUUUAUAAUUUCCUUUACAUUUGUGCAGAAGUGGAUACACAAGACACUUGCCUCAUGCAAUGUGGUAUCUCUUGAGGAUGAAGGCAGAGCUAGAUGACAUAGAGAAAAAAAAAAAUCUUUCAGAAGAAAGUGAGAUCAGCUAUUUAAUCCAAACACCAGAAGAAUGCUACUCACAUAAACUGAUUUGUUUUCCAGAAUAUGAGACUGGAUAUGCUCAUAUAUGAGGAAGCAAAAUGCAAAGCCCUUGAUUAUGGUCUGACUCCUGUUCCAGUGCAGACAUGGAGGUAAGGUUGGGACAUUCUUCUUUUCUGCCAUUGCAGAAAUUUGGCUCUUCUGUUUACAACUGCUAGUUACAGUGUGUGUUCACAUGUGUUUUGGGCAAUCCAUAGGAGAGAAGGGAGCUGUUUGAUGCUUUAGAGACCCUCUGAAAACAAACUCUGCUUCAUAUAGAUCCCCGCUGGAUAAGGCACACAAUCCACAUUGUGUUAAAUGCCAUCAGUAUGUGGCAUUUGGCUGUCAUUUGGAGAUCGCCAUUAACUGCAGGGUGAGUUGGCAAUCUCCUCAGAGAUGGAGCAACUACAGACAGCUCUUUUUUUUGAUAAUCUUCCUGACACUUGGAUGAGACUGGCUUAUCCAUCAACAUACAGUUGCUCAGUGGAGCCUCCUGAGUAAGGCAAAGAGCCACUGACUGAUGGAGUGAACGAGGACUGGAGAGCUGACCAAAGGACAGGAAAGCUCUGCCAAGCACAAAGACAGGUAGCACUAGAAGGCAAAACAAGCCCACUCUUCUGAGAUCAGUCCAGACUUCUGAGAGAUCAAAAGUGGAAGAAGAAAUCUUGUUCAUCAGAAGACACAUUGAGAAGAGCAUCAGAGGUACAUUGUAGUGAAGAUCAAUCAUAGCUUUACAGAUUUAAAUGCUCUUUUAGCUUCCCUUGAUGGAAAACUAAACCACCAUAGAGAUACUGUGAUGUCUGUGAUAAAUAUAUGUCCUGAAGACAGAAGCGUUGCCUAGGGGAUAUAAUGCAGUAAUGCUAAAUUACAAGCUGUUUUCCUGAAGGACGACACAGCUGCUUACUUUAAAAAAAUGUAUGGGGGAAUCAAGCUGGACCUUAUACUCAUGUUUGGACAAAAGAGGGUAAAAGUACCCACUGAUUAUAUAAAAGCUGUCUUGUAGAACUAGUAGGAUUUAAGGUGACAGGUUAUCUUUUACCAUCAGGUGCAAAAUGCAGUGAGUCACCAGGGAGCAAAAUCAUUGCUGUGACACUGUGCUAUGCAGCUGGGCUCCAAAACAGCCUCUCUGCUGGAACAGAGCAUGUAUGGGGAUGGACUGCAGAACAGGUGAAAGGGAGGUCUGCCAUGAGCACCGGAGAGGUUAUGCAUGAACAUGACUAGUGGUCAGCUUUGCCUGGCCAUCAGACCCUUGGGUUUGGGGAGAUGAAGAAAAAACACAAAAACCAGACUGAAAACAAAACUUGAAUCAUUGUCUUGUCUAAAACCCCACAGUAAUUGUUGUCUGGAGCAGGAGCCAUGAGCUUCCUUCAGGGAAGAACAUCCUCUCUAUACCACUCUGUUAUGCACGCUGCAAAGCACAAGAAGGUCUCAGUCAUCAUGAUAGUUUUAUCCUCCCCGUUUUUAAACCCCUCCAUCUCAUAUACCUACCUGACAUGCCUAUCUGAGCCAUCAGAAAAAAACCCUUUGAUUUCUAAUCAGUUGCCAUUUCAAAGUAAGGUGGGACAGGGUGAGGAGGUAAAUGGAAAAAAUCUGAAUAUGUGCACAGUUUAAGUAUCUUGGGCUCAGCAAAUGUGUCAUAAACAGCAAACACAAGUGAUUAAAUGACAGAGAUUAUGUCAGAUCACCUAAUAAUCUCAGAUCUUCAGUUUAUCUUCAGGAUCCUUUUCCAUGUCUCUGAAAUGAACAUGAAUUCUGUUAAUGCUUCCCUUUAUAAAGUCAUCCUAUAUGUCACCCAGUGUUUCGUGUUUCUGUGGAGGAGUCGCCUCUUGCCCCUGAGCCAGCAGUCUCCUGUCUCUGGCUUAGAGACAGUCAACUAUCCCCAAGGCAGGUAUGUCUAGCAUUUCUUAACAGCAGCUUGUUAGGAAGCAAGAAGCAAUACCAAAUACUGCCAAAAAAAAAAAAAAAAAAGGACCUCAGCGAGAAAGGUGGGAAUGUGAUGCCAGCAAUGUUAAAUGGGGUAAAAGGAAAAAAAACAAGUUGAUAAGUUGAUGCUUUGUUUUUCAAGCCAUAGAAAUUCAGAGAAAAAUCCAACAGAUAGGGAAAUAGAGUGUGGAUGGAAGAGAAAUAUUGGAAACUUGUGUCACAGGUCAUCCAGCUUUCUGGAAAUCCACAAAAGACCAACAGUGGGAUGCCUUAACAGAGGCAAAAAUGUUUGGGUUCUGGGCUGUGACUGCAUUGACAGGCAAUAGCUGCAGCAGGCUGAGGUGACAGCAGCAGUAAAUGAGGAUUUGAAAGGAGACAUUACAUGUAGACGGGAUGAAGUGCAGGGGCAUAUAAGGAGUGGAGGGUGGCAGGAAGGGGGGGCAGGAAACCACAAAAUGUACGAGCUGCCAGAAGAGGGGAUGUUCAUUCCCUCUUUGGAAGAUAUUCAUGAUAGACAGAUACAGGCUAAGAAACUAUUCCCUGAAAACUCAGGGUUAUGGCACUGACUCCCUUGCAGGCUAGAAAAAUACAUGCUUGAAAGGAAAAGGCCUUCAGGGUAGGAGUGUUUGUUAUUUGGGGUUUUAAACUGACAGAAUGUGCUGCUGACUUGUAAGGUGGGGAGGUAUUAACUCCUGAGAAGGAGGAACAAAAGGCAGGGAUUGCAAUCCUGUAAGAAAAGACAAGGAGCAUUGCAAGUAGAGGUGGGCUGGUCCAGAGGGGGGGGUUAAGGAUAUUCAUCGAGUGCUUUGAGAUGAAACAUGCUGUGUGUUCGCAAAGGUGUCUGUCAGUCAAGUGGGGGAGCAACAUUAUGACAACCUCUCUUCUAGGAGCAGCAAAGACCAAGAUUUUUUCCCUGCAAAGCCAGCCAAGAAAUUACUGAAAUGGCUGUUUUAACAGUCAAAGCUAACAGGGAGAGAACAAAAGAACUCCAGAUGCACGUACACACACAUCCAUCCAUCCAUCUAUCCAUGUCCUCCUAUGGCCUCCGAUGAGCCAACUUCCACUUAAAGAAAGUCUCUUGCAUUGGUGAGAAAACAGGCAGCAAAUUAUUUUGCUGCUGUAAAACUUAAAAUUAUCUAGGUUUCAGGGACAAGUGUGAAAUGGGUGUAACUUGCAUGAAAAUUUCUGAGAGCACUGUUAAGUCUAAUGCACAGGGAAUAGCAGAAAAGAGGUUAGAUUUCUUUUGAGGGAGCCACUCUUGUUUCCUGAAUACUGACUUGCUGUCUUACUUGCUACCUCUCAAAGCACAGCUGCUGCUGUGGCUCCUUGAGAUAGACAGACAGGUUCCAGAGGGGCUGAUCUGAAAGCCCACAAGCACACAAUAUUGCUGCACUUGCUGUUAUUCAUUUGUCAGUAUUUAAUAACAAAUACAAAUGCAGAGCUGUGCUGAAAUCAAAAAAAAGAUACUUCAUUUGGAAAAAACUUUUAAUAUGAGGAAGUUGCUUGUUAAACAGAGAGGAAUUUGUUGUUCAGCUGCACUCAAAACACAAGAAAAGAAAAAAAAACAAUAAUGUGUGCCAGGGCAAAAGUACCACUGUCUUGGCAAGAAAAAGAAACAUUUGCAAGCUCCUUUCAAACAAUGGGGAAGAAAAUGAACUAGAAAAACUGCCUGAUGGGCUGCUGAGAAGAAUCUUCCUCCCCCCACUACACCCACUGAUUUUUGUGUUUUCUUAUAUCCAGAUAAGAUAGACAAAUGGUACAACAAAUAAUAUCUGACACACAAGUGUACCUACAUGGUAUCAAGAACAGAAUUUAGAGUGGGUUGAACUCCUUGAAUUCAAUGGCAAUCAGAUAAGCAGCAAAAAUUUAAUCAACUACCACUAUUCCUUUCCAUCAGAAGAUACUGAAAACUCUGUGAGCUUUUUCACAUAGUUACUAUGCCAGUACAGGCUGAUACAAACUGAAAAAACGCAAUACAAAACACCAAAACUAAAUCAAGCCCUGAAUUCCAGGUUGAAGAUCAAGGUGAGAAGAAACCUUAAGUCAGGCUGUCAAACAUCUGAAGUAACAAGUUUUCCAGUGUUUACUCUGGUCAUUUUCCCCGUAGUUGAUAACUUUAAUAAAUUACCCCUAAUCCUUCAUCAGAAGUCUGCCCUUCUUCAGUUUUAUCCCAAGUUCCUAGUCGGCAGCUUCUCAAAUUGCCCUUAACAUUUUGGAGCUAUUGUCACAUAUUGCAGAUGAGGGUCAGAAUUCCCUAUUGCAAAGCUAUUAGCUUGUAUUUCCUUUUAAUCCUUCUCCUACACAAAAUAAAUAUCUAAAUAUUGCCUGUAUCAAAGUAAAUAUUUUAAAACAUACAUACUUAACUUGGAGCAGGUGGGAGGGGUGGGUUGCAGUUGUUUGCGGCCUAGGAGCUUCGCUUUACUGGAUCCUUCCUAGCGUGACAGGGGCCAGGUGUGAGCUCACACACAGUAUUCCAGGUACAAAGUGCAUCUAGGUCCUUCACAGCGCCUGUGAUUCCUUCUACACCCAGUUUGCUUCUAAACAAUUUGAAAGCAAGAACACUCUUUUCAAACCCUCACUGUUCCAGCAUUUGCUAAGCAGUACACAUUCUAUUCGUGAACACUUUCACUGCAGGUUAAAAUUCUCAGAUGCAGAUGAUACAAUGCACUAAGAAGUAUUGGCUGGGGAAAAAAACCCUGUCAUACAUAGCAGGACUACUGAUAAUGUGCAGUGUAUUACACUACAGCAAAAAUGACUAAUAUCAAAGCUAAACAGGAAUGAUUUGUAUGGUUGAGACAAGUAGAAUAAAACAUGUAUUUUAACUAAAUCAGUUUUUAGGAACACCAGGCACAGGUUAAUCCUUUAUAAAUAUGUUCACAGAGCACAUUAGACACCAGCCCGCCUACACAAAAUGAAUGCAGCACACACUCUGAUGUAUUACAGAGGCAGGAUAAAUGAGGGAACUCUUCUGUGUUUGAUCUGGUUCUGCUCUGUAAUUCAGAGAUACUGGAGAUGGGUGGUGAGUUUCUCAUUGAUCCCAAAAGAACCAAUAAUCUUGAAUCCUGUGAAAUGUAAGCUUUGUAGAGGAUUGGAGGCUAUGCACGAAGGACAUUGUAGCUUUAGGGGCAUAUUCUCUUCUCGUGAAUGUGUGUAACUGGCUUUCACAAGAGUCAUACAUAUCCUGGGGAAACUAGACUCUGUAGCUUAACAAUACUGAAAAUACGUACCUAGCUCCACAGGCACUUAUAACGCUCUCAUGGUUAUAUCUGCAUCCAGUUAUAAAGGACAGAUUUCUAGCAGAUAAUAAAUGAACCUGCAAAUGAAUGUCUUCAGAAUUUUGAAACAAUGCUAAAUUUGACACACAUCAGCAUUUAAAAAUGCAGCGGAAUGCAGCCAGAACAUCAAUCCAAGAUAUUUUAGAUAGAAACCACAGGGCUAGCACAUAGAUGUGGGAAUAAUCAAUUCAAUUCUCCCCCACCCCCCAUUCUUUCCAGCUUUUUAAACCACUUACACCAGUCCUUGCUUCUCUGAACUGUAUUUUGCAUAUGGUGGAGGUGUUAAUGCACAGUUACUGCACAACAGGGUUGUGAAUUUUAGCUAAUGAAAGCUUUUAAAGGCACAAUGAAAUGCUCAGAUGAAAGGCAAUAAAGAAGUGCAAAGUAUUAUUACAGCGUAGCCUAAGUUUUACUGAGAGCAUUCUUAUACACGAUGGACACAGCAUAAAUAUGUAUUACGGAUGAUAACCUCCCUGUAAAGGCUAAUUCCCACCCCUGAGGCUGCCAGAGGCAAGGGAUGGUGGUCUUAUAAGACUUAAUAAAGUCUCAUAACAUUUUCAUCCUGUUCCUACCCCCAGGAGCUGGAAGAGGACCCCUGUAUACAUCUGAACCCUUAACGAUUAGGAUGUCCAUCCCGGCAUAUUGUGGGCACAAUUAGAUCACAAGGACUGCGGACUAAGAUGGUUCAGUGAACAUUUAAAGGCAGAGGCAAAUUUAGGAAGGAGAGCAAAUGCUGUAGUGCCAGUUACAGCAGUUUGGCAUACAGUAAGUUUACAGUGUUUGCAAGCAAAGGGAGAGAAAUCUGCUUGUCAUUUUCUGUGAUAAUUUUUGCUAAAAUCCAAGUAAUUGUGCAUGAUAACAAAAAGGAACAAUUAACACAGUUUGUACUUUGCAAAGGUGAGAAAGGGAUAGCUGUCAACAGGAUGUGGAUGAAAGCACCAGUAACUCAUUUGGAAAAGAUCUAGCACCAGAAUAAAUGUACAACAGCUUACCAGGCUGAGAGAGGACAGGAUCUGCUGGUCUGAACGAUGGUUUGAUCUGUUACGAUGGGAGUGAAGUCUUCAGUUUGAAAAAUAAUAUUCUGCUUCCUGGGUCUGCAAAAGACAGGACCAGACUGCAAGGGAAAGCCUGGAGAGGAUUUCCAUGCUUUAAAAAGAGAAACAGGGGAAGACUGAAUUUCCUGAGGUCACUGAGGAAACGCAUGGCAGUGCUAGGAAAAGAAGCACUCGAGCAGCCGAGAUACCAUCUUCACAGCCAAAAACAGAUGGGUUUUCUCUGCAGUGUGACAUAACAGCAAAGACAGAGCAGUUUAACCAUUCCGGUGCAGUGAACAACUUCCGCGCUGCUGUGAGCUUGACUCCUAGCCUCAAGAUCUCACCCUCCCUAGUGUUGUCUGGAUAUCAAUUUUUUUCAACCCCCAGUCCUUCCUCACAGAUGUGGAGGAAGCUCAAUCUCACCAACACUGGAUGAAAACUACCUGUGUUUCCAGAUAGGCUGUCAAACAAAGCAUAACCUCCCUCAUCUCACUAGUGGUGGGAUUUGGUGGCACUUGCUGAAUGAUCUUCACACAAAGAGCAACCACAAGACAGCUUCUCUCCCCUGUUUGUAUUUUCCCAGAAACACACUAACCACAGCACUGCAGAGAUCAGUACAACUACAGGUAAAAGUAGUAGCAACCGUGCCCUGGUCUGCCACUUCUAGUACCUCUCUUCUCUCCAGUGACUUUUCUGAGGAAUAAAGUCCACAUGGUUAAGGUGCCGUGCAAACACCAAGAAAUCAUUGCUCAGAAAUUGAGGCAGAAAAAGGUUGAGGUGUUUUUAACUGUGGAGGAGAGUUGAGUAUUUUGUACAAACUAACCCAUUUAUCAUAGGGACUUCUGAGAAUCCCUUUUACAAAAUCCAUGUUGUCUUGCAUAUUGUACAGCAAGCUGUGGCAUACUGGGAGGUGCAAAGGAACCCAGCAAAGGUUCUCUUACAGGAAUCACAUUUCCCCAUGGAUUCCAAUAUGUUAAAAGUAUAAUGUGACAUCUGUACAGGGGAAAACAGAAGCUAGAUUUCAGCAGUCAGGCUUAAUUAGCGACUUAGUUAAGCCUGAUAACAGCCAAAAUGUUCAUCUCAUCCAGAACUUUUCUUCAGAACUGGAAAAAAAAAAUCAGAUGCUAGACAUGAGAUUUUGGAAACUGGAAAACCAGGUGAGAAUUAAAAAAAAGCAACUAACAGACUGCAAUACUCUCAACUCCCUUGCAUCAGCUAUAAUGCAUAAUAUACUUAAUAGCGAGCCUAAAAAAUAAACUAAUUCUGCUUGCAAGGAGAAAGAAUGUGUAUCUCCAGUCUGUGCCUAGUAGCUACCCAGAAGAAAAAAAAAAAGCAUUAUUCCUUGCUAUGGGUAAGUCUGCAUGUCAUGAUGAAAAUUAAUUGUAAUUAUGUUAAGAACAUUCAAGCGUUAAUUUUUUUCUAAAGCCAAAUUUAGCUAUGUGAGCGAAUGUGGUUUUGGUCUUGCAGCUACAGGAAAAGUGACUUGUUUAAGAUCAUACCAGCAGGCUUUGAUAGAACACUCUGUAUUCUGUAACAGGCACAUAGAUAUCAUGUAUACUGUAUAUUUUUAUUUGCUGGAGGUGCUCUUCAGAGCUUUGUAGUACAGAUGCUGUUUUCUAGCCACACCAGCCAUUUAAAAACUAGAAGUUACUUCACCCAGAAAAAAACUAGGAUUAUAUCAAAGCAUUUCAGUUCCUCACAACAAAACUCUGUGCUUGGUUUCCAAUACUAAAAUUGUAACAUCACAACUUUUUCAUAAGAAUUAAAUGGAAAGAGAAAUAAAGGGGGAAGAAAAAGCUUUUAGAGUGUUAACUCUCCACGGCAGGAGGAAGCCAGCAUGGGCAUUGAGCUCGGCACACUCAUUCCCUUCUCCCUGCUGAAAGGGACACAAAAAGAACUCUGGCUAAGCAUUUAUUUUUCUGCUAAUGUGAAAGUUUUCUUUUAAAGAGGAAGCAGAUUGAACAGAGCACGAGAAAAGAAUUUGACUCUGGCUUAUUUCCAAAGGGGUUUUUUUUCCUGAUGAUUCACUGUUAUCACUUGUAUUCACAUUACAACCAGCCUCAAAAAGAAAUACCCAAAACCAAAACCAACCCCCCCAACAACAAAAAAAAACCCAUAGCACAAAAGCACUAAGAAAUAGGAUCUCUCCUACUGCUAAAUUCUGCUAAUAAGCUAUAUAAGAAGAGAAUCAUGUAAGAUAAGAGUGCCUAUGUUCAGUCACAUUUGAGUAGGAACAUUGCUAAGCCUCUAGACCUGGAACUUUAGAGCGUAUCUAAAGAUGGUGAAUCUCCAAGGCAUUAAACAAAAUGGUUGGCACCGAUUGAACUUGUUUUACUUCAGCUAUAUA